GACGAACGCUGGCGGCGUGCCUAAUACAUGCAAGUUGAGCGCUGAAGGUUGGUACUUGUACCCACUGGAUGAGCAGCGAACGGGUGAGUAACGCGUGGGGAAUCUGCCUUUGAGCGGGGGACAACAUUUGGAAACGAAUGCUAAUACCGCAUAAAAACUUUAAACACAAGUUUUAAGUUUGAAAGAUGCAAUUACAUCACUCAAAGAUGAUCCCGCGUUGUAUUAGCUAGUUGGUGAGGUAAAGGCCCACCAAGGCGAUGAUACAUAGCCGGCCUGAGAGGGUGGUCCGCCAAAUUUGGACCGAGACACGGCCCAAACUUCUACGGGAGGCAGCAGGAGGGAAUCUUCGGAAAUGGACGGAAGUCUGACCGAGCAACGCCGCGUGAGUGGAGAAGGUUGUCGGGUCGGAAAAGUCUGUUGGUAGGGAAGAACGUGGGUGAGAGUGGAAAGCUCAUCAAGUGACGGUAACUACACAGAAAGCGACGGCUAACUACGUG
rnacentral:rRNA from 1 species